GUCCCCAUCGUCUAGCCUGGUUAGGACAACAGAUUUUCGAUCUGUCGGCAGGGGUUCAAAUCCCCUUGGGGACG
rnacentral:tRNA from 2 species